UACGUAGGGUGCGAGCGUUGUCCGGAAUUACUGGGCGUAAAGAGCUCGUAGGCGGUUCGUCGCGUCGGCUGUGAAAUCCCGAGGCUCAACCUCGGGUCUGCAGUCGAUACGGGCGGACUGGAGUUCGGCAGGGGAGACUGGAAUUCCUGGUGUAGCGGUGGAAUGCGCAGAUAUCAGGAGGAACACCGGUGGCGAAGGCGGGUCUCUGGGCAGUAACUGACGCUGAGGAGCGAAAAGCGUGGGGGAGCGAACAGG
rnacentral:rRNA from 1 species